AACGAACGCUGGCGGCAGGCCUAACACAUGCAAGUCGAGCGCUGUAGCAAUACAGAGCGGCAGACGGGUGAGUAACGCGUGGGAACCUUCCCAGUGGUACGGAAUAGCUCAGGGAAACUUGGGGUAAUACCGUAUACGCCCUUCGGGGGAAAGAUUUAUCGCCAUUGGAUGGGCCCGCGUCGGAUUAGCUAGUUGGUAGGGUAACGGCCUACCAAGGCGACGAUCCGUAGCUGGUCUGAGAGGAUGAUCAGCCACACUGGGACUGAGACACGGCCCAGACUCCUACGGGAGGCAGCAGUGGGGAAUAUUGGACAAUGGGCGCAAGCCUGAUCCAGCCAUGCCGCGUGAGUGACGAAGGUCUUCGGAUUGUAAAGCUCUUUUGGCGGGGACGAUAAUGACGGUACCCGCAGAAUAAGCCCCGGCUAACUUCGUGCCAGCCGCCGCGGUAAAAC
rnacentral:rRNA from 1 species